CACAUGCAAGUCGAACGAGACCUUCGGGUCUAGUGGCGCACGGGUGCGUAACGCGUGGGAAUCUGCCCUCGGGUUCGGAAUAACACUUAGAAAUGACUGCUAAUACCGGAUGAUGACUAAAGUCCAAACAUUUAUCGCCGAGGGAUGAGCCCGCGUAGGAUUAGCUAGUUGGUGAGGUAAAGGCUCACCAAGGCGACGAUCCUUAGCUGGUCUGAGAGGAUGAUCAGCCACACUGGGACUGAGACACGGCCCAGACUCCUACGGGAGGCAGCAGUGGGGAAUAUUGGACAAUGGGCGAAAGCCUGAUCCAGCAAUGCCGCGUGAGUGAUGAAGGCCUCAGGGUUGUAAUGCUCUUUUACCCGGGAUGAUAAUGACAGUAACGGGAGAAUAAGCCCCGGCUAACUCCGUGCCAGCAGCCGCGGUAAU
rnacentral:rRNA from 1 species